GGAAUGGGCGGAAGCCUGGAUCCAGCCAUGCCGCGUGGUGGUGAAGAAGGCCCUCGGGUUGUAAAGCACUUUCAGCGAGGAAGAACGCCUAGUGGUUAAUACCCAUUAGGAAAGACAUCACUCGCAGAAGAAGCACCGGCUAACUCCGUGCCAGCAGCCGCGGUAAUACGA
rnacentral:rRNA from 1 species